UUGAAGUGGGCAUACAUUGAUAUGGUAGAGUCUGAGACUCAUAAUCUCAGAGCCGUGGGUUUGAGCCCCACAUUGGGCAAA